UGCUUACUUCAGCAGCACAUAUACUAAAAUUGGAACAAUGCAGAGAAGGUUAGCAUGGCCCUUGUGCAAGGAUGAUAUGCAAAUUCAUGAAGUGAUCCAUAUU
rnacentral:snRNA from 1 species